UCGGCCUACGGGGCGCAGCAGUGAGGAAUAUUGGUCAAUGGCCGGGAGGCUGAACCAGCCAAGUCGCGUGAGGGAAGACGGCCCUACGGGUUGUAAACCUCUUUUGUCAGGGAGCAAGGGGCGGGUCGAGACCUGCUGUGAGAGUACCUGAAGAAAAAGCAUCGGCUAACUCCGUGCCAGCAGCCGCGGUAAUACGGAGGAUGCGAGCGUUAUCCGGAUUUAUUGGGUUUAAAGGGUGCGCAGGCGGAGGCACAAGGCAGCGGUAAAAUCGCGGGGCUCAACCCCGCUCCGCCGUUUAAACUGUG
rnacentral:rRNA from 1 species